rnacentral:rRNA from 1 species
CAGUCGCCGCGGUAAUACGAAGGGUGCAAGCGUUACUCGGAAUUACUGGGCGUAAAGCGUGCGUAGGUGGUGGUUUAAGUCCGUUGUGAAAGCCCUGGGCUCAACCAGGGAAUUGCAGUGGAUACUGGGUCACUAGAGUGUGGUAGAGGAUAGUGGAAUUUCCGGUGUAGCAGUGAAAUGCGUAGAGAUCGGAAGGAACAUCUGUGGCGAAGGCGACUAUCUGGGCCAACACUGACACUGAGGCACGAAAGCGUGGGGAGCAAACAGGAUUAGAGACCCCUGUAGUCCCUGUAUCUUAUAC